UUUGUACUCCCUCCGUACCAAAAUUCUUGUCUUAAAUUUGUCUAAAUACGGAUGUAUCUAGUUACAUUUUAGUGUUAGAUACAUCUGUAUCUAAACAAAUGUAAGACAAGAAUUUUGGGACGCAGGGAAUACUAC
rfam:Triticum aestivum genome assembly, contig: Triticum_aestivum_CS42_TGACv1_scaffold_322458_4BL